rnacentral:lncRNA from 1 species
GCUCGAGUGUCUCGGCAAACUCUGUUGGCACUUGAGAAAGAAGAAGAGGAGGAAGUUUUUGAGUCUUCUGUACCACAACGAAGCACACUAGCUGAACUAAAGAGCAAAGGGAAAAAGACAGCAAGAGCUCCAAUCAUCCGUGUAGGAGGUGCUCUCAAGGCUCCAAGCCAGAACAGAGGACUCCAAAAUCCAUUUCCUCAACAGAUGCAAAAUAAUAGUAGAAUUACUGUUUUUGAUGAAAAUGCUGAUGAGGCUUCUACAGCAGAGUUGUCUAAGCCUACAGUCCAGCCAUGGAUAGCACCCCCCAUGCCCAGGGCCAAAGAGAAUGAGCUGCAAGCAGGCCCUUGGAACACAGGCAGGUCCUUGGAACACAGGGUAAGGACUCUUAGAUCCAGUGCUUUGCUGACACAACAAAGACUUCACAUUUAGGGUAGAGAAGUAUUUUUACCAUCUCUUUUAAUUCCUCUUGAAUAUUUA